CCGAGAAUAUUCGACAAUGGGCGCAAGCCUGAUCGAGCGAUACCGCGUGGUGGAUGAAGUGCUUCGGCACGUAAACACCUUUUAUGGAGGAGGAAGUUAUUGACGUUACUCCAUGAAUAAGGGGCUCCUAACUCUGUGCCAGCAGGAGCGGUAAUACAGAGGCCCCGAGCAUUACCCGGAAUUACUGGGCGUAAAGAGUGCGUAGGUGGUCGUGUUAGUCGUUUGUUAAAAACCGGGGCCUAACCCCGGACAUGCGGACGAAACGGCACGACUAGAGGGAGUGAGAGGUAUAUGGAACUCAUGGUGUAGGGGUGAAAUCCGUUGAUAUCAUGGGGAACACCGAAAGCGAAGGCAAUAUACUGGCACUUUCCUGACACUCAAGCACGAAAGCGUGGGUAGCGAACGGGAUUAGAUACCCCUGUAGUCC
rnacentral:rRNA from 1 species